UACGGGGGGAGCAAGCGUUGUUCGGAUUCAUUGGGCGUAAAGGGUGCGUAGGCGGCGCGGUAAGUCGGGUGUGAAAUCUCGGGGCUUAACUCCGAAACUGCAUUCGAUACUGCCGUGCUUGAGGACUGGAGAGGAGACUGGAAUUUACGGUGUAGCGGUGAAAUGCGUAGAUAUCGUAAGGAAGACCAGUGGCGAAGGCGGGUCUCUGGACAGUUCCUGACGCUGAGGCACGAAGGUCAGGGGAGCAAACGGG
rnacentral:rRNA from 1 species